rnacentral:rRNA from 1 species
GGUUGACCUCGAAUCAGGUAGGGAUACCCGCUGAACUUAAGCAUAUCAUA